UACGAAGGGUGCAAGCGUUAAUCGGAAUUACUGGGCGUAAAGCGCACGUAGGCGGCUUUGCAAGUUAGAGGUGAAAGCCCGGGGCUCAACUCCGGAAUUGCCUUUAAAACUGCAUCGCUAGAAUUGUGGAGAGGUAAGUGGAAUUCCGAGUGUAGAGGUGAAAUUCGUAGAUAUUCGGAAGAACACCAGUGGCGAAGGCGACUUACUGGACACAUAUUGACGCUGAGGUGCGAAAGCGUGGGGAGCAAACAGG
rnacentral:rRNA from 1 species